rnacentral:rRNA from 1 species
CGCACAAGCGGUGGAGCAUGAGGUUUAAUUAGUUGCAACGAGCAGAACCUCCCCAGCUCGUGACAUUCGGGGUAUGGGCAUUGGAGACGAUGUCCUUCAGUUAGGGUGGCCCCAGAACAGGUGCUGCAUGGCUGUCGUCAGCUCGUGUCGUGAGAUGUUGGGUUAAGUCCCGCAACGAGCGCAACCCUCGCCCUUAGUUGCCAGCAUUUAGUUGGGCACUCUAAGGGGACUGCCGGUGAUAAGCCGARAGGAAGGUGGGGAURACKUCAAGUCCUCAKGGCCCUUACRGGSKGGGCUACACACKUGCUACAAUGGUGGUGAAGUGGGCAGCGASACAGCGAUGUCRAGCUAAUCUCCAAAAGCCAUCUCAGUUCGGAUUGCASUCUGCAACUCGAGUGCAUGAAGUUGGAAUCGCUAGUAAUCGCRGAUCAGCAUGCUGCGGUGAAUACGUUCCCGGGCCUUGUACACACCGCCCGUCACACCAYGRGAGUUGGUUUUACCCGAAGGUAGUGCGCUAACCKCAWGGAGGCAGCUAACCACGGUAGGGUCAGCGACUGGGGUGAAGUC